rnacentral:rRNA from 1 species
AAAUUGAAGAGUUUGAUCAUGGCUCAGAUUGAACGCUGGCGGCAGGCCUAACACAUGCAAGUCGAACGGUAACAGGAAGCAGCUUGCUGCUUCGCUGACGAGUGGCGGACGGGUGAGUAAUGUCUGGGAAACUGCCUGAUGGAGGGGGAUAACUACUGGAAACGGUGGCUAAUACCGCAUAACGUCGCAAGACCAAAGAGGGGGACCUUCGGGCCUCUUGCCAUCAGAUGUGCCCAGAUGGGAUUAGCUUGUUGGUGAGGUAACGGCUCACCAAGGCGGCGAUCCCUAGCUGGUCUGAGAGGAUGACCAGCCACACUGGAACUGAGACACGGUCCAGACUCCUACGGGAGGCAGCAGUGGGGAAUAUUGCACAAUGGGCGCAAGCCUGAUGCAGCCAUGCCGCGUGUAUGAAGAAGGCCUUCGGGUUGUAAAGUACUUUCAGCGGGGAGGAAGGUGUUG